UCCUCAUCUGUGUGCCUGACUUUUAAGUCCCACUGAGAAAUGCUUUCUGUAGUUUAACAGCAGAAGAAAUGGAGACUCUUCAACUCAUCUGUACCUCCCAAAGUGAAGAUGGAAGGGGAAAGCUCUGCGGCUAACACAAUUUAAGCGGAACAAAAAGGAGUUUGUGCCAUGUGAUGAGUCUGGAGGAGAAGCAAGAUCAAUUGUCUCUUUGUUUCUUCAGUCUUCAGUCAGUAGACGAACUUCAUGAAAUUAUGAGAAAAAGAUCUCUUGUUGCCCAAGGAAAAACAACUGCUUCUUCAGGUACAAACAUAGACACGUAUAUAUGCAUAAAAUUCCCAUAAGUCAAAAAUGAAUGGAAGAUCUUCAGCCCAGUUCUUGGAGGCCGGGUCGAGAUCUCCAGUGACUACCAAA
rnacentral:lncRNA from 1 species